AGCAGUCAGAGCGGCGGAGUCCGGGCCUGCCUGGGGCCUUCAGAUGUGACACAAACUCGGAGGCGGAGAGGUCCUGGUGACUGUUUUUGGUGGAUGCAGAUGAUUUGCCAUCACGUUUCCACGCACCAAGACUGACGAGCACAGCCAUGGCAGAGGAGAGCUGAACAGGAAAUUCUGGCUUCAUUGACAACAAUGGCAGAAAUUUGCGCUUUCUGGAGUGCAAGAGUUCUUCUCUACCACUGCAUAAAACUGCCCAAAGGGAAUCACGAAUACUUCAGCAUUUCAGAGCUACUUCUGGAAAUGACUUGACUAGGAACUCACAGGUGUUGUGCACAUUCUUGUGCAUUGCUUCAACAUGCAAAUUGCUUUGGUAUCAUAGUCUUAUACUGAAGGUAAUACUGUCUCAGUCUGUGUGUACAUCUUCCUGCUUAUGAGCAAAACUACUCAUUAAUAUUGAUAGAAGAAUGCAUUAAAAGAUUCAUAUUGUAGAAGAAAUGCAAACACUGCAAGCUGAGGGAGAAAGACACCAAUACCUUUUUUUUUUUCCCCUUUUUUCUUUUUUCUUUUUUACCUAAGUGAAAAGUGAGGAUCCGUAGCAUUUUGGAAUUCAGCAACGAACAACUUUGCACAUCAGAACAUCAGCACACUUCUUAGAGUUGAUGUUAGCUGAG
ensembl:lncRNA